CGUUUGGUCAGUGGGAACCCACGUGGGUUCAACAGGCAUAUCGAGGAGUGUUAUUUCUGUUUGGGGCCCAUCUACCCUGGCCACGGCAUGAUGUUUGUCCACAACAAUUGCAAGGUGUUCAGAUUUUAUGAAUCUAACUGUCAAAAAAACUUUAAAACAAAAAAGAAAGUCACAGACUUUAAAAAGAAGAGCAAUCCCCACAAAGUUAGGUGGACCAAAGCAUUCUGGAAAGCAGCUGCUAAAGAGCUUACAGUGGAUAAUUCAUUUGAAUUUGAAAAGCAUAGAAAUGAACCUAUCAAAUACCAGCGAGAGCUAUGGAAUAAAACUAUUGAUGCAAUGAAGAGAGUUGCAGAGAUCAACCAGAAACGCCAAGCUGCAUUUAUAAUGAACAGAUUGAAGAAAAACAGAGCUACAGAAAGUUCAGGAUAUCAAAGAAGUCAAGCAAAACAUCCAUCUUAUCUGAGCCCCUCUUGCAGGCAAACGGAAGCAUUUGGAAGAGAAAAUGGUACAGCAGUUGCAAGAGGAUGUGGACAUGGAAGAUGCAUCUUAACCAUCUCUGUAACCAUUUCUUUUAUGUACAUUUGAAAAUGCCCUCUGGACACUUGGAACUGCAAAGUUAUUAGUUUAUUUUUUACAUAAGGUCACUUAAAUGAAAAGUGAUUAAAAUAUAUCUUUCCUCCAUUGCCAUCUACAAAACAUCAGAUAUUACGAAUGUUACAUCGCAUUUCAGUGUUAAAUCUCCACUGAUAGAGGUACUUAUGUAAAUCAUGAAAAUUCUGCUUGUAACUAUAGAAGUGAAUUGUGGCUGUAAAACAGUUAUGUCAUUUGGAUAAUGGCAGAGAGCAGCAUUUUGUAUAACUAAUGGCAAAAAUUCAUGGUUAGUGAUGUAUAAAAUAAAAUAUUCUUUGCCCUAAAAUAUUCCCUGUACUAAUGUUAUAGAAGGGCGGAUACAACAAGGAACUAACAAUUUGUAUGACAGUGUCAAAUAUUAUUUUGAUUUUAGUAUUUCCUGUUUUGGUUUAUUUGCAUCUCAGAAGAGCAUAAUGAUAUUGUUUGAUGAAGCCUAAUUAUGCUAAACUGUUUUGACCUGGUUUAACCCUUCUGAUAGGUAGUUUUAGAUGUUGGGGAUGAGAACUGAAUAAUCUUUGCCUGGAGUGACACUACACUCCAGAAUUUCCACUUUGGAGAAUACUCAGUUCCAACUUGUGAUUCCUGGUAG